ACAUGUCCGCAUGAUUAAAGGUAUUUUCCGGUAGACGAUGGGGAUGCGUUCCAUUAGAUAGUAGGCGGGGUAACGGCCCACCUAGUCAACGAUGGAUAGGGGUUCUGAGAGGAAGGUCCCCCACAUUGGAACUGAGACACGGUCCAAACUCCUACGGGAGGCAGCAGUGAGGAAUAUUGGUCAAUGGGCGAUGGCCUGAACCAGCCAAGUAGCGUGAAGGAUGACUGCCCUAUGGGUUGUAAACUUCUUUUAUAAAGGAAUAAAGUCGGGUAUGCAUACCCGUUUGCAUGUACUUUAUGAAUAAGGAUCGGCUAACUCCGUGCCAGCAGCCGCGGUAAUACGGAGGAUCCGAGCGUUAUCCGGAUUUAUUGGGUUUAAAGGGAGCGGAGAUGGAUGUUUAAGUCAGUUGUGAAAGUUUGCGGCUCAACCGUAAAAUUGCAGUUGAUACUAGAUGUCUUGAGUGCAGUUGAGGCAGGCGGAAUUCGUGGUGUAGCGGUGAAAUGCUUAGAUAUCACGAAGAACUCCGAUUGCGAAGGCAGCCUGCUAAGCUGCAACUGACAUUGAGGCUCGAAAGUGUGGGUAUCAAACAGGAUUAGAUACCCUGGUAGUCCACACGGUAAACGAUGAAUACUCGCUGUUUGCGAUAUACGGCAAGCGGCC
rnacentral:rRNA from 1 species